rnacentral:rRNA from 1 species
AGGUGACGGGGGGCGUGAGCUGCUGGAGUACGGAGGGGGGAAGCUUUAUCCGGAGUUAUUGGGUUUAAAGGGUCCGUAGGCGGACUUAUAAGUCAGUGGUGAAAGCCUGUCGCUUAACGAUAGAACUGCCAUUGAUACUGUAAGUCUUGAGUAUAUUUGAGGUAGCUGGAAUAAGUAGUGUAGCGGUGAAAUGCAUAGAUAUUACUUAGAACACCAAUUGCGAAGGCAGGUUACCAAGAUAUAACUGACGCUGAGGGACGAAAGCGUGGGGAGCGAACAGGAUUAGAUACCCUUGUAGUC